CACAGCCUGCCUCCUCUAAAAGACAGAAAUAGAGGAUGUGACUGUUUCUACAGUAUUUCUAAAAGACUUUUUUUCCCCUUACGAUAUAAAGGCAUUUAUUUGUUUCUAUUGUCUUGAUUUACCAGAUAAUGUGCACUUCCUAAUGUGUGUGGAACAAGAAUAGAGCAAUGAAUGACAGUUAGCAAUGGAUUCUGUUUGGAAAGCUUCUAUCUUGUUAUUUUUAUUAAUUCAACAGUAUAAAUGAUCAGACCACAUCACAAAACAAACACAGCAAGAUACUUCUGUCCUCCACAGCAGGAUGGCUUCUGAUCAUUGCACAAAGCAGAGUCCUCCAUUGCAGGGCUGGGUUUGUACACCCACAGUCCUUCCUGGGUCCUGCCUUCAGGGCCCUGGUGCUACUGGAGUGCUGAGGGGCAGAAAUAGGAUCCUCUGGAUUGUUUUGAACAGAGAAAAGUGCAGCAAAGGAUGGCAAAGGCAAGAGAAGUGUCUGAAGGCUUCUCAGCAGUGCAGUCAAACCUCCAUGUUUUACUUAUGGACUGCUAUCACCUGGCAGCUGAGCCAAAUCCAAAAGACUGCUGGUAUCAAAAUGAUACUUCUGCUUCCAGCCCUGCUGCUUUCAUUGUACAGGUCUGGUGCUUGUCUGCCUCUUUAAUGAGCUCAUGCAGCUCAGUAAACUGCAAGAAAAUAAAUUCAGUAAAAAAUAUACCAGCCCAGGAAAUGAGAAGAAUUGGACACUGUGAGAAUGGAGACUGGAACUGCAAUGAGUGAGAGAAGUGGGGCUUCCCUCCAAAGGGCACAGGAUGAACACGGCCUGACCCAGGGAGGGUGACUGGAUGGGUGAAGGAAGGUCACCCAGCAGCACCAACCCACACAGCAGAGAAAGGACUGAAUGGAACUGCAGGAGACCAGGAAGAUGUUGGCAUGGGUAAGAGUCCUGGAAGAUGUUGGCAUGGGUAAGAGUCCUGGAAGAUGUUGGCAUGGGUAAGAGUCCUGGAAGACGAACCAAGGAGGAAAGAGGACAUGUGCAGAGUAACCACAGAAGGUUGCUGCAACAAGCACUGGAAAAAUUCUUGAAUACAAGAUGAUGGUCCCAUCCUAGCUCUUAAAGGAUUUAUUCUUAUGUAUCCAUGUGGCUGUCCCUGAAGGUGGGAUCUUGCUUAUAUCCCUUAUUUAGACAUACAUUUCUCUAAAUUGGGAUUUGAUAAAAGGACAGCUGCUGCAUUUUCUUAUCUGUGAUAAGCAGCAGUAAAAGCUGUUCAGAGUUCAUGAUGGAAAUGUAUCCAUAUAUUGGCAUUUAUCCAACUGCACUUCACAAAGGUAAGUGGGACAGGAGAGUGGUGCACAGCCCCUUUUUAAUCCAUUUUUUCUAGACAGGGGUACUUUGCCUCUCUGCAGGAAAGGCCAGCACAGCUCCUGUGCUAAUAAACACUCAUUUCUCACUGCAGCAUAUGCGCUUCCAGACUCAUAAAUCCAAGCAACUUGUAGUUGAAUAACAAUUAAAUAUCCACGUGAAUUUCCAUACCACGGUCUGGUGCACAAGGCAUAGGCUAAGUGGCUGCACAUCUGUUGUCUGCUCCCCCACACGUACUGUUGUCAGAGAAUAAUCACUUAAUCUUACCCUGCUGCCGUUAAUGGUACAUGUAAAAUUGGAUGCAGAGCAUCAUCCUGCAGAUAUUUUGCCAUAUCCUUCAAAAAGAACGGUGUUCUUUUUCUUUUUUUUGUUUUUUAGAGCAGUAGGAUUUCCAGGCCAGGGAUUCAGUUUGGCUGUUAACAUAAGUGGGAAAUGAGACAUCAUAUUGAAAAGUUAAUUGAGAUGCAGGAUGCUGUUGGAUCUCAAAACAAUUUUGUGUCACUUUUACAAAACCCAGAGACUCAGUAAUGCAGUUAAGAUAAAUGUAGUGCCUGAUUACAAUGGAUGUGUUGCACUUACAAAAGGCAUCUCUUAUCAUGAGGCUCUUCAUAUCUGCAAUAAUAACCACCAUAUGUCAGGUAAGACAAAGAUAAUGUGAGCCAGAUAAUUUUCCGAUUGUUGAAACUUUAAAAAUCCAAAAAGCUACAAAUGUCUUAAUUAUUAAUUCAAUUUUGCUAGAUGUGGUGCUGGUAGCUGGAGGGAACUUUUUUCUGAGGUUCAAUCUUUCCCCUGGUCUAACUGAUAACAGUCUGUGUGGCAGAGUUUUAAAUGUUAUAGCCAUUUAAAGGAGUAAGAAUUGUGCAUAGUCACUCCCCAUCUUGAAUUUCCGUGCAGCAGGAUUUUAUCACAUGAAACUGCAGUUCAGAUGUUCCCAUCUUGAACAGAUAGGCCUUGUAGUUUGCUCUGAACUUGACAAGCCUUCCUCAGUGGUAAGGCUGUAAGAGGCACAAGCCUGUCUUGUGCCUCACUGUACAGUAUUGUUGUUGUACAGGUACCUAUCAAAAUGUUUAUUCCCUGUAGAAUUGACAGAAACCUUGAAUUCCCUCCCCAGCCCUCCCCCCCCCAUCAGCUGCAGACCAAGUCCCAGCUAUGAUCACAAGAACAUCCUGAAUCAGUCACAAUAAUUUGCAUUUCCUUGCCAAAGAUUUUAUCUGCUGGGUGUGCAAAUUGCAACAUCAAGGUUGCUGGUGUUGAAAAAUCUGCACCCUUCUGCUCCCCAGCUCUACCUUUUCCAGCAAGGUUAAUUUAUCCAGAAAAAUUAAUUGAGGCAACAAAGCUGUCAAGUGAGAAAAGCUACACAGGGAGACAGCACCACUGUGAACAUCUGCACGAUUUGUGUGUUUGAUUGGGUACCUCUGCACUGGCAGAUUAUUGUUGUUAGAAGCAAAUCUUACUCUUGUCAUUUUCAUACAAGACUCUGUGCUGCAAUUCUGCAGAUGUUCAUUCUCUGUGUCCCCACACUGUUUAAAAAAAUGACAAAUGAUGAUAGUAAAAAUUACAUUUGCUCAUUCAAACAUCUUGCUGUUUACAUAUAAGAAGAAUUAUGUGCUGGGGUGCAAUGACCUAAUGAGAGAUGCAACAUGGCCUUCAGGAGGAGGUGGAUGGAACCCUCAGAAUCUGCUUCUCUCACACAGAUAGUCCUCUGAUAUAUAUAAUGAAAACCUUCUUUUGUUUUUAAUGACAGAUGCCACGGAGGUUGUAUAUUUGGAAAUUAUUUUUUCUCUAGGAGUGUUUAUUAACAAAUGUUUGAAAGUUUUAUGAUGUGGUGAAAACUGUAUCUCUCGUGAUAAACAGGAAGUGCUCAGAGAUAUUGCAUUACCCUGUAAUGCAACACAGAUUCCAACAGCUUGGCUCUUUUUUUCAAAAUAUGUUGACACCACUUCCUUCAGGAAAUCACUCUUCUCUGUACUGCUUUUAUCUGCUAUAGAUAUGCAAAAUUGCAAAAGAAAAGUUUGUUUUAAAGAAUGAUGAUUCAUCAGUUUUGGACUGUAGAAAUGGAUGUCUGUAAUAUUUAAAAUAUCUAUUAAAAAUAAGCAGCACAGACUCUAUGGGCUGUCAGGUCAGUGGAUUGAACCAAGUGCAAGGAAAAUAGACUGAUACCUCCCACAGCACAGGUGCACCUUAGAAAGCAAAGAUGCAGAUUUCCCUGCAGGUACCCUGAAGUGUGUCCCAGCCAUAAAUCUGGAGAUGCCUCUUCUGCAGUCCCAUGUCAGCAAGGCCAGGACCUGCCCAGCAGAGGAGAAGAAGGAAUCCUGUUUCCAUGUGAUCUGCCAGGAAAACUCAGUAGGACAGUUUAUUUUGCGUAUGGAACCUUAUAUUCAGAGUCGCUGUGCUGCAGCCUCCAACCUGCUCCUAAAGGCUGCCACCCAGUUGUUGGGAUGUUUUAGCAAUGCUGGCUGAAUUUUAAACCCUAGUGACUUUUAGGUGAAAAUGUCAGAAUGCCAUUAGUGUACUGUCUCUUAUCACUUGUUUCUGUUCAGUCACUGCCCAUUGUUUAUACUAAAUCUAAUAAGAGCAGACAGGUAGGAUAUACCUGUGCCAUCACAGUCAUUAGUCAACAUCACAGUGUACUUGUGAUGGAUAUCACCCCAGCAGACAAUGAUGUCAGGGAAAGCAAGUCCUGGUGAGCUCUUUUUGGAAGGCCUGGCAUCAUUCUCCAAACCAGUUCUCCAUGAAGGGACUUGUGUGUCU